rnacentral:rRNA from 1 species
GAAGAAGAAAGGGGCAUGGGGUUUAGAGACCUUCAUAGUUUCAAUCUUGCUAUGUUAGCAAAGCAGUGUUGGCGACUACUUCAAAACCCGGACUCUUUAUGUGCAUGUGUGUUGAGUGCUAAAUACUAUCCAGAUGGAAAUACUUUGCAAGCUGGACCAAAGAAGCGAUCAUCAUACACUUGGCAAAGUAUUGUUGUGGGUAUUCAAACUUUUAAAAGGGCAUGUAUAUGGUGGGGACAUGUUCACAAGUAA